GGGGUUGUAGCUCAGUGGCAGAGCCCUUGCCUUGCAGGCAUGAGGCGCUGAAUUCGAUCCUCAGCACCA
rfam:Ictidomys tridecemlineatus contig054013, whole genome shotgun sequence.